ACUUUUUCCAUCCAUCCGUCCAUCCGCUCAUCCAGGGCUGGGGCAUUGUGGCAGCAGCCUUAGCAGAGAAGUCCAAACCUCCUUUGUGUUCCCCUCACUACCUCCUUGACUGCAGGGCAUUCAGAAUGCUGCUGCUAGGCUUCUGACAAAGCAUCACAAACACUCCCAUACCACUCCCCUGCUGAUUCAGCUGCAUUGGCUCCCUGUCAAGUUCAGGGUCCAAUUUAAGAUCAUAAUCAUGACUUAUAGGGCCCUGCACAGUGUAGCUCCAACUUACUUAAGUGAACUUCUUCUUUCUUAUCACCCCAGCAGGUCCCUGAGGUCUUGUGACCAGGGUUGCUGGUUGUCCCGCAUACAAGGUUAAAAACAAAAGCUCACCCAAGGGAAACACUGAGGGAUUCCCAGGCUUUGGGGAAUCUUCUUGGUAGGACAUGCUCAGAACAUCUCAGUUUCCUGUAGACAUCCUUGUUAGCUGGCUCCUUUUGAUACAGUGGAGUAGCAGCUCAACCCUGAACUCCUCACCCUAUCUUUAAGGGAGAGGCCUACGCCCAUUUGGAGAAAGCCUCUAUCCACUAUCCUCAGUACUCAACUAUUGACGCCAGCUGUUUGAAAACUUUUUAUGAAAUUAAAAAAAAUAAUAUGGUGUGAAUAUCUCCACUUUCUUUGCUCUAUUCAAGCAUGUCUUAUGGCUGUCAGCUGUAGUCCUCUGACGCACUUUCAAAUGAGAUGUUUUCAACUUGGACAAAAGAUGCAGUCACUUCUCAAGAGCACCUGCUGUUUGUGAGAUUUCCAGGAUUGAAUGAAGCAGCUGUGCAUAUUUGUGUUUAGAUGAGUGUUACAAUUGAUAUAGGUGCCUAAAAAAUAUCAAGUCAUUUUUGUGCUUCAGGUAUAUCAUCCUCAUUCGGUAAACGUGGCACCAAAAAGUUGUUACCUAAUAGUAAAAGCAUUAUUACCAUAAUCACCAGGCUCUAAGCCUUAGUAGGGCUGUAGGAUAUGACGAAAUAUAUCGGAAGAUGGAAUUAAAAUGCCUGUUGUUUCAUAUUAUACCAUCGUUUAUUUUGUGCUGUCACACACACACUGUUUACUGCAAAACAAAUCAAAGAACUUGUUCCUAAACAAGGGGCUACUUCUGUAGCAUAUACAUAGUUGUGUUGUAAAAAGUCUGAUAUGAACCAGAAAACUAUACUUUGCAAAAUUAUACCACAAACCAGUCCCCACCACAGAUUCCGACACAACAAACCUGUUCUAGCACCUACGCAAGGAUCACAUGAAAGAGUAUGGAGAGGGUUCACAAAUGAGAAGCAAAAAAAGAACCGUUAGGUGCUCAAAAUACAACAGAGUCAAGUGUUAGAACAGCCUUUACCCUCGGCGCGCCAUAUAAUAGACUCACAAAGAUGGAAGGAGAUAAUAGCAGCUAUUGCAGCUUUUAUCUAUAAA